rnacentral:rRNA from 1 species
UACGUAGGGGGCAGCGUUGUCCGGAUUUAUUGGGCGUAAAGAGCGUGUAGGCGGCUAGGUAGGUCCGUUGUGAAAACUCGAGGCUCAACCUCGAGACGUCGAUGGAAACCAUCUAUGACUAGAGUCCGGAAGAGGAGAGUGGAAUUCCUGGUGAUAGCGGUGAAAUGACGCAGAUAUCAGGAAGAACACCCGUGGCGAAGGCGGUCUCUCUGGUACGUGACUGAACGCUGAGACGGCGAAAGCGUGGGGGAGCGAACAGG